rnacentral:lncRNA from 1 species
CCCACAAGCUGUGAAUUUAUUGAUAAUUUUCAUGGAAAUAAAUGGGAUAGGUUUAAAAAAUUAAAGCAAAAUAAGACAGAGUUUUCCAUUAGAAAUACAAGAUUCCUAGUGAGCUGAAAUUACCCCAAACUCUCUGGUGCCUAUCUGAAGCAGAAUACAAAGCAGCAGGGACCCAUCAGUGCUCUAAAGGGAUGUAAGGAGCACAGUGAAAUCUUAACUUCCAUCUCUAUCCAUGAUUUUCCAUAGCUGAUGUAUUUCAGGACUGACAGCCCCCACACUCCUAUCAGGCCUUGCAAACCUCUGCUUUCCUCCAGGGCAGUCAUUAUUUAAGAUUUUUAAGCCAAGUUUGAAAUGUGGCACCUAAAAGUCCCCCAAAGCCAUGCUCUGACCUCAACAGGAGUCCCAGAAGGCAGUGAAUGAGCUCUGGUGGGCACCCAUCACAUGUUUCCAUUGUUGCUGGAAUGAACUUAAGCAGUGUUCACUUCACCAGAGGAGGAAUAAAUCAGCUGAGUGGGAUGGAAUUCCCUGCCAGGGCUCAGGGGAAGCAGUAGCUCUCUGAGGAAAGACAGGAUGAGAAUUAGGGUAGGCAGGGAUGAGUCAUGGAGGCAGGAGGAGCCUUCAGGGAUAGGAUUGGGUUUGUGGUGGGAAAACCUUACCCCAGGGAAGCUUUUGGCUGGAUAUCCUGGUGCCAUCCUUCCCUGGGCAGCUUUGAGGGAGUGGGAAUGUUCCCCAAGGAGCUGAUGAGGGAAAACAAGGGACAAGAGGAGGAGGAGGAGGAGGCACUGGUGUUUCUUCUCUGCCUCAGCUGCCUUUUUAGUCUGGGGUUCCCUGCAGAGAGAGGUGACUGAGCCCAGAGCAGUUGGGGGGGCUCAGCCUAGAGCAAAGGAGGCUCAGGGCCCUUCUGGCUCUGCACAGCUCCUGCCAGGAGGGGACAGCCGGGGGGUCGGGCUCUGCUCCAGGAACAGGGACAGGAGGAGAGGGAACGGCCCCAGGCUAGGCCAGGGCAGGCUCAGGGUGGGCUCCAGGAGGAAUUUCCCCAUGGAAAGGGGGGUCAGGCCUUGGCAGGGGCUGCCCAGGGAGGUUUGGAGUGCCCAUCCCUGGAGGUGUCCCAGGAACACCUGAGGUGGCACUCAGGGCUCUGGGGAUCGGGCACAGCUUGGACUCGAUGGUCUUAGAGGGCUUUUCCAACCUCAGUGAUUCUGGGAAUCUGUGGAAAAAUCCUCACCCCUUUCAAACACAAACCUGUUUUUCUCAAACCUGACCCUCACCUUUGUUGCUGUCUCUGCAUUGUCCUGCAGAUUUCCUGAAGCUCAGUUGAAAAACAGGUGGGGACUUUUCCUUCAUCUGAAUCCACUCCUUUUCUUUAUUUUUACCUACUGAGGAUAAAACCUGAUCUGCUGAAGGCGAUGCAGGUUAAUGCAAAAAAAAGAGAAAAACUAAUUAAGCACACAAAGAUGCCCAUCCCCUUCUGCUGAAGGACAGGGAGCAGAGCAAAAAGGAGCAUCCACUGACAGUGCAGAUUAAAUUGGGGUGCUGGCUCCUGUCUAAGAGAAACAGAAUAAUUUCAAAGAAAUAAAUUUGUAUUUCAGCUUGAGCAUCCCUUUCUCAUCUGGGAAUGAAAUAACUCCAGUGUAGCAGCAUCCCUCUGUUUCUUAGUAACCAUGGAACCAGACUGAUGA